rnacentral:rRNA from 1 species
ACCGUACUCCUACGGGAGGCAGCAGUGGGGAAUUUUGGACAAUGGGCGAAAGCCUGAUCCGGCAAUGCCGCGUGAGUGAAGAAGGCCUUCGGGUUGUAAAGCUCUUUUGUCAGGGAAGAAACGGUGAGGGCUAAUAUCCCUCGCUAAUGACGGUACCUGAAGAAUAAGCACCGGCUAACUACGUGCCAGCAGCCGCGGUAAUACGUAGGGUGCAAGCGUUAAUCGGAAUUACUGGGCGUAAAGCGUGCGCAGGCGGUUGUGUAAGUCAGAUGUGAAAUCCCCGGGCUCAACCUGGGAAUUGCAUUUGAGACUGCACGGCUAGAGUGUGUCAGAGGGGGGUAGAAUUCCACGUGUAGCAGUGAAAUGCGUAGAUAUGUGGAGGAAUACCGAUGGCGAAGGCAGCCCCCUGGGAUAACACUGACGCUCAUGCACGAAAGCGUGGGGAGCAAACAGGAUUAGAUACCCUGGUAGUCCUUGAC